GCUCUCUGAUUCAGCGGCGGACGGGUGAGUAAUGCCUAGGAAUCUGCCUGGUAGUGGGGGACAACGUUUCGAAAGGAACGCUAAUACCGCAUACGUCCUACGGGAGAAAGCAGGGGACCUUCGGGCCUUGCGCUAUCAGAUGAGCCUAGGUCGGAUUAGCUAGUUGGUGAGGUAAUGGCUCACCAAGGCUGCGAUCCGUAACUGGUCUGAGAGGAUGAUCAGUCACACUGGAACUGAGACACGGUCCAGACUCCUACGGGAGGCAGCAGUGGGGAAUAUUGGACAAUGGGCGAAAGCCUGAUCCAGCCAUGCCGCGUGUGUGAAGAAGGUCUUCGGAUUGUAAAGCACUUUAAGUUGGGAGGAAGGGCAGUAAGUUAAUACCUUGCUGUUUUGACGUUACCGACAGAAUAAGCACCGGCUAACUUCGUGCCAGCAGCCGCGGUAAUACGAAGGGUGCAAGCGUUAAUCGGAAUUACUGGGCGUAAAGCGCGCGUAGGUGGUUUGUUAAGUUGGAAGUGAAAGCCCCGGGCUCAACCUGGGAACUGCUUUCAAAACUGGCAAGCUAGAGUAUGGCAGAGGGUGGUGGAAUUUCCUGUGUAGCGGUGAAAUGCGUAGAUAUAGGAAGGAACACCAGUGGCGAAGGCGACCACCUGGGCUAAUACUGACACUGAGGUGCGAAAGC
rnacentral:rRNA from 2 species